AGCCAGUUAUAUGGAGGGUUUCUUGCCCCUUUUGGAGAUUUAAGUUCUUCUGUUAGUGUUCAGUAGAUGUUCUGCAUGAAUUGUUCUAUAUGUAGAUUUUUUUAUGUGUUUGUAGGAAACGGUUAGCAACACAUCUUAUUCCUUUGCCAACUUGACCCUGCCUCUAAAAGGAAUAGAAAUUACAAAUUUUUAGAGGGCAAUUUAGCACUAUUAAUCUUUAAAAUCAGAAGUUUAAAUUUUAAACCUUUUAAACCCAGAAGUUCAAAUUUUAGGAUUUUUUUUAAAUACUGAACACACUUGUGCACAUUGAUAAGGUUAUAAGGUGGUCAUUUCAGUAUUGUUUAUCUUAGCAAAAACAUGGUAACCUAAAUAGCCAACAUAAGGUUAAUGAUUAAUGCAUAAUGAAACAUUCAUACCAUAGAAUACAAUAUAGCCACUAAAUUGAAUGAUGUAGAUUAAAAUCUCAUUAAGAAAUAAACUUGUGUUGGAGUUCCCAUUGCGGCACAGCAGAAACGAAUCCAACUAGUAACCAUGAGGUUGCAUGUUCCAUCCCUGGCCUCGUUCAGUGGGUUAAGGAUCUGGCAUUGCUGUGAGCUGUGGUAUAGGUUGCAGAUGUGGCUCAGAUCUGGCAUUGCUGUGGCUCUGGUGCAGGCCAGCAGGAACACCUUCAGUUAGACCCCUAGCCUGGGAACCUCCAUAGGCUGUAGGUGCAGCCAUAAAAAGACAAAAAGACAAAAAAUAAAAUAAAAUAAUAAACUUUAGGAGGCUGGUGGGCCCACUUCCCCUCAAAAACACAUAAAAAUUACAGCUGUAUAUAGAAUGACUCUUGCUGAAAUUGAUCUGGGACUAGCAGAACUCUUCUACAACCACAGUUAUAAAGAUCCACACCAAGUCUGGUAGGAAGGGAAGAGAAGAAAUCUGGUUGGGACCCACAGCACUAGUGGGGGAUAGAGUGAGGAGAGAAUAUAGGCCCAGGGAUCCUCCCUGUGGACUGAGGAGUUUGAGUUACAUGUUAGACACCCCAGCCCUGGGGUCAACAGGCAGCCAGCCCUGGGGUCAACACCAUGAAUAUGAACCCUCUUAGCUGGUCCGAAACCAGUGGGACUUAUCAGAGGGCUAUAAGAAACUGAGACUCUUAGUGGGGGGAGAGAUGGGCCAGGGAUUUGGGAUUGGCAUAUGCACACUGAAGCAUAUGGAAUCUUUAGCCAAUGGGGACCCGCUAUAUAACACAGAGAACUCUACCCAAUAUUCCUUGAUAAUCUACAUGGGAAAAAAAUCUGAAAGAGAAUGGGCGUCUGUAUAUGUGUGACUGAAUCACUUUGUUGUACAGCAGAAAUGAUCACAACCUUGUAAAUCAACUCUACUUCUAAACUCUUAGGUUCUAACUAAAGUUCUAAGUUUCUAAACUUGUAAAUUCUAACUAAACUUUUUAAAAUGAGAGAAAAAACAAGAUAGAAACUGGGACUCUGCUAUUAAAGAGCAUGCACACAGACUAGCGUACUCCCACUAAUGGCACUGAGUAGCAGACUGAAAAUUGCUUGGGGCUCUUACCACCCUUCCAGGGCUGCCCCAGAGCACUUCCCCAGCCCACACUGUGCUCCUGCUCCAGCCUCUCUUUCUCUGACACUGCUCUCCACUAAGAGGGAAGCUGCCAUUGCCAACAAUAAUUCACAUACUUGGAGGGAACAGAGCCAGCUGGCCCUGCCUCUGACCAGCAUGGAGGCAGCCAUUGCUAGCACAUGUUUUCCAACUGCAAACAAGUGAAAGUGAAU
rnacentral:lncRNA from 1 species